rnacentral:tRNA from 4 species
GGGGCUGUAGCUCAGUUGGUAGAGCGCCAGCUUUGCAAGCUGGAUGUCGUCGGUUCGACCCCGAUCAGCUCCACCA